GGCAGCCCUUUUGGGCUGCUCUCUCUCCUCCUUCUCCUCCAAUUUAUCCUUUUUUUCUCUCAAAAUCCAUCCCACCUCACCAAAAUUUCUUCUCCUCACCAAGAUUUUCCCUCCUUACCAAGAUUUACCUCACUAAAAUUUCCUUCUCACCAAGAUCUACCUUACCAAGAUUCCAUCUUCUCAUCAAUUUCACAAGAUUCAAGGGGGAAGCACUUAAAGCAUAAGGGGUUUAAUCACCACUUGGGUAAAAGGGAGAAAUUAUAAUUCCAAGGCUUGUUAUGUUUGCUUUUUAGCAUUUGUAACUUGACUUGGUUGUUCUCCCUCUUCUAUACCUUUUCCUCUUUUAUUUAUAUGAAAUUGAUGGAAUUGAUGGUGUAUAUAUUUAUGGGUAGUGAGUAGAAAUUUAGUUGGGUGUUAGGGUUGUGUGCCCUAACCGAAAUUUGAUGUAAUAGAUGCUUAAUUUAAUUUAUAUAAUGCAUGCUUAG
rnacentral:lncRNA from 1 species